rnacentral:pre_miRNA from 1 species
CUUCUAUUAUUUGCAAUCAGUAACAAAGAUUCAUCCUUGUGUCCAUCAAGCAACAAGGAGAAUCUUUGUCACUUAGUGUAAUUAAUAGCUGCGC